ensembl:lncRNA
GUUUCCUCUAAAAAACACUGUACAGUAGGAGAAAAGAAUGUAUUUGUGUCAAAGGACCUGAGUACCUGGAGAAAAAUUUCAGUUUAUAUGUAAAAGAAGAGAGAGAAAGAGGGACAGCAUAGCCCAAUGAGGGAAGUGUCAUUAGGUGGACUUAGUAGAAAUGCUUGUUUCAUAGAUGCAUUUUUCACACUGUGUAUUUUGAAGUAAGGCUAGGGGAUGAAAGCCUUGCUGAUGAUUCAAAGAAUUUGGAAGUGGAAAUAAACUUUGCAACCCCUUGAUAUUUGUACAGCAAAGUCCAUUCCGGGAACAGCUGCUCCUCUAACUGCAGUAGUUUUAAUUAAUUCCUGGGUAAUAGGAAUGGGUAAUUAUUCUUUGAAAUAAACCCCGGGUAAAAGUGACCUCAUUGGAAGCUCUGCUGAGAAUUAGAAAGAACCUCAACACAGUACAUUGAAGUGUCUCCUUCCCUUCCAUGUUACGCAAAUUCUGUUUGAUUUUGUUCUUGUGCUUUCUGAGCCAGAAAACAUUAUGUAGAAGCAGAAAAACUCCUAGAUAGCUCUUGCAGUCACUGCUGGCGGUAUAGUUUUUGUUAUAUUAAGAGUAAUCCAAAUGCAGAUCUCUAGCAUUCUGUAACAACUGACUUAAGGGUGCUCAGCACCCUAGGUAGAACUAGAAGCAUGUCUGUUCAGAAGUGAUUCAGGGGGAAAGGAGAUGCCAGGGGAUAAGUUUCAAAAUAGGGUGAUAAAAAAAAAAAUAAAAAAAUCCACAUCUCUUCACACAGAAGUGGUUCUAUCCUCAAGAAAAUUGUUGUAAGGAUUGUUAAAAGGAAGAGGUCACUCACCACUUCUGGAAUCUGACUCCAUGCAGAAAAUAAACAACUGAACCCUAAGCCAUGCAAAUACACAGGAAAAAGGACCCUUCGUAAUAAAGACUUCACAACACAAGAUGCAGUAUGCCUUCUGGUUUGGAUCCCAUUCAGCAGUAUUCAAGCAGGAGCGGUAUGUGCAGCUCUCUGCUGGCUGUUCAGCACCAUACCUUAUGAAAAGAAGGAUUCACGAGUAUGAGAUUGGUGCCUGAAGAGACUUCUGACUGUUCUGAAAGUGAACACUCUGUGGAUCAUAUCUUAAAGCACCCUGAUUCUCUGUGUGAGAAGACUGCAUGAAUGCACUCUGUAUUGAUUAGAACUUGAAAUUUGGGGGUAAAAACUCAAAAAUUACUUGAUUACUGUGGAGAAAGAAAUGUUUGUAGAGAAUAUCUCCAUUCUGGGACAUCUGAAAACAUAUGUUUUUAACUUAAAUUGUAACAAAUCUUUCUUAAGAUGUUUUUAUUUCCAAGUUUUAGGCAAUUCUGCUGCUUCAGUACUAUGAUUUUGCAAAGAUUCAAACUCUGAAAAUAGUUCUAAGGCUUGAUCAGUGGGAUCAGAAAAGAAAGUGCUUAUCCAACUGCAAGCUUGCUGUGUGCACAUUAAAAAAAAAAUCCACUGUUGUAACAUAUUUAGGCUUUCAUGUGAUACAUGAUUGGCGCUUAUGAAAUAACAUACAGAACAAUAACCACAUCAUCAUCUUUUCCUGAAAGUGGUUUUGUUUGUGGGAGUGACAAGCAAAGCUGAUUGUAAUAGAUAAAAUAAAUAACAGACAGGUAGGACA